AGGGGACGCCUAGCUUCGGGCCCCGCGCUCCCUUUAGGCCUGAAGCACUCUCACCGGCCUGGCCCAGCCCCGGGGUGCACCUUUCCUCUACUGCUCCUGCCGGCUGGUCCAGCCCUGCAAGGCCCUCCCUCCCUGGCCCGGGCCCACGUCCUCUUCCCUCCGCGGCUCUGCACUUCCCCGGCCGCCACAGUAGCCCCAAGCUCGCGCGCAGCCCCGGUGGCCACGCGGAUCCCCUGCGCAGACCGCUCUGCCGAAGCCGGCGCUUCGCUUCAAAGGGGCCGCGCCAACUCGCUGGCUGUGCGCAGCCGGUUACGAAGCUCCUCCGCGGGCUCAGGGGUCUGCCGAGGCGGGGCCACAGCCGCCGUCGGGGCUGAGGCUGGUCCAAGCCUGAAACAGCUUCGUGGGCGGCCAGGCUCCGGGCCCUUGCGGGGCCAGGUCGGAGUUCGAGAUGGGAGGACCGGAAUCGCACCGGCAGCCUGUCGCUGGGAAAAGAAUUUCCUACGGGACAUAGGGGGAUUGAAAGGGGUCCCCAGACCCCUUUCUAGGUGGGAGCAGGCGUGCCUGAGAGCGAAGUCCCUCCGAAACUGCGGGCGGCUCCGGGACAGGCCGUGGUGCGGGCUCGGCCUCGGGGCUCCUGGCCGAGCAGCAGCCUGGGGAAGCCCUCGGCGUUGCAGCGCCCAUUCCUUCUUGCCUCCCGGUUCUUUCUCUUCUGCCUCUCUAGUCUCUCCUUUCCUCUUGCACAUCACGCCAAGAGUAGACUUGCUUUGCGGCGGUUUCGAGGCACCUCGGAGCCCAGCGGUUCCUUCUCUCUGGCGGAAGGCCCCCGCUUCCUGCAGGCUUCGCCGCCCCCCAGGUCAGCCUCAAGCCUCAGACCCCAAACCUUACACAUCUGGUGAGAGAGCUCGGGACACCUCCCUACCUGCCGCACUUCUGGCUCCCCCCCACCCCGCGAGGCUGCAAUUUCAGAUGCCGCUAAGGGAGGUGCUUGGACCCUCGCGGCGUGGGUCAGGCUCGCGGGGUAGUCUCCGCUGUACGGUGUGGAUUCCUCAGACCUUUCCCGCAGCGCGGGGGACUUGGGUGGAAGGGCAGCGAGCUGACCUUCCGUAA
rnacentral:lncRNA from 13 species